rnacentral:rRNA from 1 species
GCCAGACUCCUACGGGAGGCAGCAGUGGGGGAUAUUGGACAAUGGGGGGAACCCUGAUCCAGCGACGCCGCGUGAGUGAAGAAGUAUUUCGGUAUGUAAAGCUCUGUCAGCAGGGAAGAAAGAAAUGACGGUACCUGACUAAGAAGCCCCGGCUAACUACGUGCCAGCAGCCGCGGUAAUACGUAGGGGGCAAGCGUUAUCCGGAUUUACUGGGUGUAAAGGGAGCGUAGACGGUGCAGCAAGUCUGAUGUGAAAGGUCGGGGCCCAACCCCGGGACUGCAUUGGAAACUGUGCGGCUAGAGUACUGGAGGGGCAGGCGGAAUUCCUAGUGUAGCGGUGAAAUGCGUAGAUAUUAGGAGGAACACCAGUGGCGAAGGCGGCCUGCUGGACUGCAACUGACGUUGAGGCUCGAAGGCGUGGGGAGCAACCAGGAUUAGAUACCCCCGUACCC